UUCCCUUCCACGCUCCUACACUGCCUCCAGAGAAGAACCCUUGUGGUUUGAGACCCAUUGAAAUGUGGCAAAUGGAUUUGACCCAUUAUAAAUCUUUUGGUCCUCUGUCUUUUAUCCAUGUUGUGGUAGACACCUUUUCAGGAUUCACUUUUACAAUACCAGCAGCAAAAGAGACAGCCUGAGUGAUCACUGAAUUCCUUAUACAAGCAUUUGCAAUUAUGGGUGUGCCACAAGCAAGGAAAACAGACAAUGGACCUGCAUAUACUUCUGAACAUUUUGCACACUUUUGUGCGCAGUGUAAGAUUUUACACACCACUAGCAUACCUUUUAAUCCUCAAGUACAGGCAAUAGUAGAGAAGAGAAACAGAGACAUUAAGAUGCUCCUCUGAAAACAAAAGUAAGGGGGAGCCACAGACAACCCUAGAGAACUUGUAAAUCUAGCUCUUUAUACUAUUUCUUGAUUUUUGACAAGGUGCAUUGGCUCUGGCAGGCAGGUUUUAUAACCCACCGGAAGGGCAGUGUCCAGUGCGAGCCUCUCCAUUAUCUUUAAUCGCCAGGUGAUGUGGAGAGGCUCAGAAAGUGGUGAAUGGAAGGGACCGGAUAGAUAAACUGCUUGGGGAGAGGGUUUGCUCUUAUCUCCACAAAUGGAGAAGGAAUCAGAUGGGUGCCAAUGAGCUGUAUUCACCUUGUCCAUCAGAAACAGAUGGAGCGCACUUUGAAAGGCAGCCCAAGAAUCUCAUUCUAAAUAUCAUCAGGCUGCUCGAGCUUUACGCUUACAAUUUGGAAUAACAAGAGAGGAAG